rnacentral:rRNA from 1 species
AUUGAACGCUGGCGGCAGGCUUAACACAUGCAAGUCGAGCGGUAACAUUUCAAGCUUGCUUGAAGAUGACGAGCGGCGGACGGGUGAGUAAUGCUUGGGAAUAUGCCUUAUGGUGGGGGACAACAGUUGGAAACGACUGCUAAUACCGCAUAAUGUCUACGGACCAAAGGGGGGGAUCUUCGGACCUCUCGCCAUUUGAUUAGCCCAAGUGAGAUUAGCUAGUUGGUGAGGUAAUGGCUCGCCAAGGCGACGAUCUCUAGCUGGUUUGAGAGGAUGAUCAGCCACACUGGGACUGAGACACGGCCCAGACUCCUACGGGAGGCAGCAGUGGGGAAUAUUGCACAAUGGGCGCAAGCCUGAUGCAGCCAUGCCGCGUGUGUGAAGAAGGCCUUCGGGUUGUAAAGCACUUUCAGUAAGGAGGAAAGGGAUGUAGUUAAUAACUGCAUUCUGUGACGUUACUUACAGAAGAAGCACCGGCUAACUUCGUGCCAGCAGCCGCGGUAAUACGAGGGGUGCAAGCGUUAAUCGGAAUUACUGGGCGUAAAGCGUUCGUAGGCGGUUGAUUAAGCAAGAUGUGAAAGCCCAGGGCUCAACCUUGGAACUGCAUUUUGAACUGGUCAACUAGAGCACUGUAGAGGGUGGUGGAAUUUCCAGUGUAGCGGUGAAAUGCGUAGAGAUUGGAAGGAACAUCGGUGGCGAAGGCGGCCACCUGGACAGAUACUGACGCUGAGGAACGAAAGCGUGGGGAGCGACAGGAUUAGAUACCCUGGUAGUCCACGCCGUAAACGAUGUCAACUAGCCGUUUGUGUCCUAUAGACAUGAGUGGCGCAUCUAACGCACUAAGUUGACC